AGUUAAGCUACUAAGGGCCUAUGGUGGAUGCCUUGGCGCAAAGUGCCGAUGAAGGACGUGGGACACUGCGAUAAGCCUCGGGUAGCCGUGUACAGGUGUUGAUCCGGGGAUUUCCGAAUGGGGAAACCCGAUAGAGGCGAACCUCUAUCAUCUCUUUGUUGAACACAUAGACAUCGAGAGGGGCACUCAGGGAACUGAAACAUCUUAGUACCUGAAGGAAAAGAAAUCAACGAGAUUCCCUUAGUAGUGGCGAGCGAACGGGGAACAGCCCAAACCGAAAGUGCUUGCACUUUCGGGGUUGUAGGACCAGUAUAAAGGAGUGGACCGGCUAGUAGAAAGGCGUGGGAAAGCCUGCCAAAGAGGGUGAUAGCCCUGUAUACGAAAGCUGGAAAGCCCUGACUGUGUUCCUGAGUACCGCCGGACCCGUGUAAUCCGGUGGGAAUCUGGGGAGACCACUCUCCAAGGCUAAAUACACUUUGCGACCGAUAGUGAACAAGUACCGUGAGGGAAAGGUGAAAAGCACCCCGGUGAGGGGAGUGAAAUAGAACCUGAAACCAUAGGCCUACAAGCGGUCGGAGGGCUAUAGCAUUUAUGCGAUGCCUGACGGCGUGCCUUUUGGAGAAUGAGCCUGCGAGUUAAUCUCAGUGGCCAGGCUAAGGAAGUAACAUCCGUAACCGUAGCGAAAGCGAGUCUGAAUAGGGCGUGCAGUCGCUGGGAUUAGACACGAAACCGGGUGAGCUACCCAUGGGCAGGGUGAAGCGAGUCUAACCGCUCGUGGAGGCCCGAACCUUUCGCCGUUGCAAAGGCGUGGGAUGACCUGUGGGUAGAGGUGAUAUGCCAAACGAACUCGGAGAUAGCUUGUUCUCCCCGAAAUAGCUUUAGGGCUAGCGUCACGCGUUUAGUA
rnacentral:rRNA from 1 species